UACGGAGGGUGCAAGCGUUAUCCGGAUUUACUGGGUUUAAAGGGUGCGUAGGUGGGUCUGUAAGUCAGUGGUGAAAUCUCCGAGCUUAACUCGGAAACUGCCAUUGAUACUAUAGAUCUUGAAUUAUCUGGAGGUAAGCGGAAUAUGUCAUGUAGCGGUGAAAUGCUUAGAUAUGACAUAGAACACCAAUUGCGAAGGCAGCUUACUACG
rnacentral:rRNA from 1 species